rnacentral:rRNA from 1 species
GACGAACGCUGGCGGCGUGCUUAACACAUGCAAGUCGAACGGAAAGGCCCUGCUUUUGUGGGGUUCUCGAGUGGCGAACGGGUGAGUAACACGUGAGUAACCUGCCCUUGACUUUGGGAUAACUUCAGGAAACUGGGGCUAAUACCGGAUAGGAGCUCCUGCUGCAUGGUGGGGGUUGGAAAGUUUCGGCGGUUGGGGAUGGACUCGCGGCUUAUCAGCUUGUUGGUGGGGUAGUGGCUUACCAAGGCUUUGACGGGUAGCCGGCCUGAGAGGGUGACCGGCCACAUUGGGACUGAGAUACGGCACAGACUCCUACGGGAGGCAGCAGUGGGGAAUAUUGCACAAUGGGCGGAAGCCUGAUGAAGCAACGCCGCGUGCGGGAUGACGGCCUUCGGGUUGUAAACCGCUUUCGCCUGUGACGAAGCGUGAGUGACGGUAAUGGGUAAAGAAGCACCGGCUAACUACGUG